UUGCUGCGAUUUUCUUCCCCUGAUGUAUGUGAACGAGUGGAUGAGUUAGAAAUGUUUAGAUGAAGGUACAUAUACUCAUUCAUAACUUAUCUACUCGUUCACAUCCAUCAGAAGAAGAAAAUCGCACUAG